CGCGCAGGCGGUCGUGCAAGUCGCGUGUGAAAGCCCCCGGCUCAACUGGGGAGGGUCACGCGAUACUGUUCGACUCGAAGGCAGGAGAGGGGAGUGGAAUUCCCGGUGUAGUGGUGAAAUGCGUAGAUAUCGGGAGGAACACCAGUGGCGAAGGCGACUUCCUGGCCUGUUCUUGACGCUGAGGCGCGAAAGCUAGGGUAGCAAACG
rnacentral:rRNA from 1 species